GUCCUUGUAGUAUAUCUAAUACCCCGGUCUUGUAAACCGAAAAUGGAGAACCCCUCUCCCCAGGACA
rnacentral:tRNA from 1 species